UACGUAGGGAGCAAGCGUUGUCCGGAAUCAUUGGGCGUAAAGCGCGCGUAGGCGGCCCUGUAAGUUCCGCUGUGAAAGUCAAAGGGCUCAACCUUUGAAAAGCCUCGGGUGGAUACUGCAGGGCUAGAGUCCGGAAGAGGCGAAGUGGAAUUCCUGGUGUAGCGGGUGGAAUGGCGCAGAUAUCAAGGAUGGAACACCAAUAGCGAAGGCAGCGUCGCUGGGACGGUGACUGGAAGCUAAGGCGCGAAAGCGUGGGGAGCGAACAGG
rnacentral:rRNA from 1 species